GGUGUGUGCUGGGCGCUGGGAAGAGAGAGCGCCGCCGGCCGUGGGGAACGGACGCACUGAUUUGCUCCCGUAACCUCAGCACCCCCUCCUCACCCACCCAGCACCAGGUGGGUGUGAGCUGGGAUUCCGGCCUCACAGGAGGGAAACAUGCUAAAAGGAUGUAGACCCCUAAAACUCUUCUUCUAGCUGAAAUCACUGGAAACAAGUUGGGCUGAGCACUGAACUCACAUUUGUGGACCUGAGGAGCCUGUACCUCCCACUUCCUCACCUGGCUGAGCUGCAGUAGUUCUUCAGUGGCAAGCUUUAUGUCCUGACCCAGCUAAAGCUGCCAGUUGAAGAACUGUUGCCCUCUGCCCCUGGCUUCAAGGAGGAGGAGGAGGAAGAGGAGAGGAGCUGCUUUCCCCCUCAUCUGGAAGGUGACAGAACUGGGGUUGGGAAAGUCUGGAAUGACAGGGGGAGUAAUGAUACUUUUGGGGGAAAUGAGCUCUUUUCAGUUGGAGAGCCUGCUCCCAGAGUGGCCCAGCAAUAGAGAGAACAAUUCUAGAUUAAAGACCCUGGCUAAAUGAAGGGAUAGAUGGUUCUGACUACCCAAGCAAGGUUAGUUGGUCUUUAUGUGGUAAUAGGAAGAAGUGGAGCACAGAAAACUCUGUCUACCCCUUUACCCAGAUAACCAUUGUUGACCCUCCUUCCUUGUCUCUCAUUCUUUCCUACUGGCCUUUCCAGCUGAGGUCCAAAGAUUUUCCUGAUAAGAUUCCUCCUCAGGAAAAAGGUCGUACUGAACCUAGUUGUUGCCCCCAUGCUCUUACCUUUCCCUGAAUUUCCUUAGACUGGCUCAGACUCUAGAGUCAGAGAUAGUCACCUAUAUGUGGAAUCCUGAGACCUGUUGUCUCAGCUUCUCCACCUGUGAGAUGGGUAAUCACACAGUUGAGUAUGCACCAGGGAAUCAGAAGCCCACUUGUGCAGACUCUGAGCCUGGGCUCUCCUCCCACUGUGGGUGGGAACAAAACAGCUUUUCACAUAAGCUAUUGUCCUCCCCCAUCCCUGACCAUAACCCCAGGAACUGGAGAGGGGGGUAGUUGGAGGGAGGGGCUGGGAUUAGACCAAUGCCAGGGGCUAGUAGGAACUCCGUCUCUACAUUGACUUCCCACCAUGCAAAGAUGGACCUAGGCUUCCCCUGCCACCCAGUGCAGGACUGCGGCCUCUGAUGGGCUUCCAGCUGCUGCUGCUCACUUUGCUUUCUAGGAUUAAUGUGUGAGACAGCUCAGGCCUGUGCAGGCAGGAAAUUCUCCCCUCCAGCAACCAGGAGAGGUGGAUUGCUGGAUGUGAUUCCCUUUGGGGCAUCAGGCAGUGUAAGCCUGCCACCCCCACUGUUCUGUUUUGGAGUAGGAGGUGUGCAGGGAGCUGGGUCCUAUUCUCCAUUUAUGAGAAACAGAUAUAGGGGAGAGUAUAUCGAGAGCUGGCUUAUGUUGGGACUGUACGGUAGAGCAGGUGGGUAGACCGAGUCCACUUACAGGCUGCAACAAAGAUCACUCUGUCCUUGGACAUUGUUUCCAUCCUUUCUUCCCCUCAUUUCACUGGCCAGUGUCUCCCUCCAGCCUUGGGUUUGUGGCUCUGCCAUCCUCACCUAUCAUGGAGCAGAGAUGAGGAACAGCCUGGGAACUCAGAGGCAGGCAGAAGACCAGUGAAGGAGCAGGCCCAGAGAGCACAGAGAUGCCUUAUCUGGGCAUCCUGCAUAGAGGGCCCAUAGAGGCCAGGAGCGUCAGAGGAUGAUGGAGGAUAGCCAGCUGUCAUCAAGGAUAAGCUUCCAGCCAUCUACUAUAUUCACCAUUUCUCUCCAGUCUUUCUGCCUCCAUCAGAGAGAGGCUUCAUUCUCCUACUUCCAUCUCUCCCCUACCCUGUAAUUUUUAUAAAAGCAGCUUCAAGGAGCAAGAGCCAGCUGUGAAAGGACAUACACAGGAAAUUCAUAAAUGAAGUUCAAAUGGAUAAAAUCAUGGAAAAUGUGCUUCAUUAGUAAUUGAAGAAAGACAAAUAUACCUGGAAGCAUUUACCCUUAGCAAAACUAUAACAGGAAAAAAAUAAGACCCAAUAUUGGCAAAGGAGUACUAAAGUAACACUCCGAUACAUUACAUAUUUGGGUACAAAUUGGUACAGCUUUCCUGGAUGUCAGUUUGGUAAUAGGUGUCAAACACCUUAAAAGUUUCUGUGGUCUUUGACAUUGUAAGUCUACUUUGGGGGUAUAACCUAAGAAAAUAAAGAUUUAGUUCUAAGAUGUUCAUCCCAGCAUUGCAAUAGAGAAAAACAGGAAGCAACUGUCUGAUUGGGAAUUUGUUUCUUUUCUACUGUAAUGACAAUUUGCAAUAGGGGAUUGCUUAAGUAAAUUACUGUAUGUCCAUCCAGAUGGUGGGAUAUUGUGUAGCCAUUAAAAGUCGUGUAGAGGAACAUUUUGACUCAAAAGCAAAAUACUUUUUGAAUAUUAAAAAGGUUAUAAAAAUGGCAUAUAUUAUGUGAUCUCAGUUUUGUUUUUUUUAAUAUGGAUGUAUACUUGUGUACAUAAAACAUAAAAAAGACUGAGGAUAUACUCCAAAAUGUUGAAAUAGUGGUUAUCUUUGGAUGGUGGGAUACAGUAAUUAUAAUUUUCCUCUUUGGUUUGUCUGUAAUUUCCAAAUAUUCUACAUUAAUUGUGUAUGGUUUUCAUAUAAUAAAAUGUAAAAGAAUCAGUGUAAUUAAAAACAAAACAAAACUUGGAUAGCUAGGCAUGGAAGAAUGAAAGGAUGCCUCUAGCCCGUUGGAGAACUUAGUGGGGUUUUGGUGGAGAAAGGGGACUCUUCAGAUGUUUGCAGGAGCACAAUUGGUUUAUGACCUCAUUCUUAUGGAGUAGCUGGAGUCAACCCUCUCCCUGUACAGGAAACAGCUCCCUGAUUCUGGCUGUAAGCCAGCUAAAGAGGUGUGGAAGAAGACUGGAGGAAAACAGUAAAAACCUGUCACUCCUCAGGAGAUGGGGGAAGAUUUUCCUCUCCAGGCUGAAAGGUUCUAGAAUACUAACAGGUCCUGCUGCUGAAAGCACUGACUGGUCUUUGUUUUUUUAUUCUUCCCCAACCUUGAGGUGACCCUGUGUGACCUCUCCUUGCCUCCUCAGAUUGGAAGAGAUACUUUCCUAUUCACUUAACGGGUGCCCAGCCCUGGGGAAGGGGUGCUGGCCGAAGUUUAGAGCUGUACCCUUUUGCCAUCCCUUCCUAAGAGUAGGGCUCCUCUGUAGGGCUCCCAAAAAAGGUUGGGGGAGGAGUCUCCAGCGGUCGCUUCUCCAAAAUGGGAGCUGCUAUUCCGUUUGAGUCGUGCUAUGUAAGGGGGCAGAACUGGAACAGUAGAGUUGCUGGGAUGUGUUAA